AUUGAACGCUGGCGGCAGGCCUAACACAUGCAAGUCGAACGAGUGGCGGACGGGUGAGUAAUGUCUGGGAAACUGCCUGAUGGAGGGGGAUACCUACUGGAAACGGUAGCUAAUACCGCAUACCAUCGGAUGUCCCCAGAGGGGCUUAGCUAGUAGGUGGGGUAAAGGCUCACCUAGGCGACGAUCCCUAGCUGGUCUGAGAGGAUGACCAGCCACACUGGAACUGAGACACGGUCCAGACUCCUACGGGAGGCAGCAGUGGGGAAUAUUGCACAAGGGGCGCAAGCCUGAUGCAGCCAGGCCGCGUGUAUGAAGAAGGCCGUCGGGUUGUAAAGGACGUUCAGCGGGGAGGCGUUACCCGCAGAAGAAGCACCGGCUAACUCCGUGCCAGCAGCCGCGGUAAUAC
rnacentral:rRNA from 1 species